rnacentral:lncRNA from 1 species
UUUGUCCUAAUUCUAAGUCCUUUAUCCUUUUUGCAUUAGGUUCACACAAAACAAAGACAAAAUAAUCACAAGACAACAAUAUAUUUAUAUACAAUAAUGAGCUCAAAUGAGCAAAAGAAAAAUGACAUAAACAUAAAAUAUAUGCUCAAGUGAGCAAAACGAAAAGCAAUAUAAAUAAAUGAGAAAGAAACAAAUGACAUUAAAAGUAAAGGGCAAGAAAUUAAAUGCUC